rnacentral:rRNA from 1 species
ACGGCUCAGUAACACGUAGUCAACAUGCCCAGGGGACGUGGAUAACCUCGGGAAACUGAGGAUAAACCGCGAUAGGCCAAGGUUUCUGGAAUGGACGCUGGCUGAAAUCUAUACGGCCCCUGGAUUGGACUGCGGCCGAUCAGGCUGUUGGUGAGGUAAUGGCCCACCAAACCUGUAACCGGUACGGGCUUUGAGAGAAGGAGCCCGGAGAUGGGCACUGAGACAAGGGCCCAGGCCCUAUGGGGCGCAGCAGGCGCGAAAAUUCUGCAAUAGGCGAAAGCUUGACAGAGUUACUCUGAGUGAUGCCCGCUAAGGGCAUCUUUUGGCACCUCUAAAAAUGGUGCAGAAUAAGGGGUGGGCAAGUCUGGUGUCAGCCGCCGCGGUAAUACCAGCUCUCCGAGUGGUGUGGACGUUUAUUGGGCCUAAAGCAUCCGUAGCUGGCUGAACAAGUCCCCUGUUAAACCCACCGAUUUAAUCGUUGGCGUGCGGGGGAUACUGCUCGGCUAGGGGACGAGAGAGGCAAGCGGUAUUCCCGGGGUAGGGGUGAAAUCCUAUAAUCCCGAGAAGACCACCAGUGGCGAAGGCUGCUUGCUAGAACGCGCCCGACGGUGAGGGAUGAAAGCUGGGGGAGCGAACCGGAUUAGAUACCCGGGUAGUCCCAGCUGUAAACGAUGCAGACUAGGUGUUUGGACGGCCACGUGCCGUUCUAGUGCCGCAGGGAAGCUGUUAAGUCUGCCGCCUGGGGAGUACGAUCGCAAGAUUGAAACUUAAAGGAAUUGGCGGGGGAG